rnacentral:pre_miRNA from 13 species
GGCUGAGCCGCAGUAGUUCUUCAGUGGCAAGCUUUAUGUCCUGACCCAGCUAAAGCUGCCAGUUGAAGAACUGUUGCCCUCUGCC